rnacentral:rRNA from 1 species
AGCAGCCGCGGUAAUUCCAGCUCCAAUAGCGUAUAUUAAAGUUGUUGCAGUUAAAAAGCUCGUAGUUGAACCUCGGGAUCAAUGGGUCGGUCAUGCCAAUGGUAUGUACUGGCCUCAUUGGUUCUCACCUUCUAAGGAACCGUGAUGUCAUUCAUUUGAUGUUGCGGGGAAUUAGGACUGUUACCUUGAAAAAAUUAGAGUGUUUAAAGCAGGCCAACGCUUGAAUACAUUAGCAUGGAAUAAUGAAAUAGGACAUCGCAUUCUAUUUUGUUGGUUUCUAGGAUCGAUGUAAUGAUUAAUAGGGAUAGUUGGGGGCAUUAGUAUUCAAUUGUCAGAGGUGAAAUUCUUGGAUUUAUUGAAGACUAACUACUGCGAAAGCAUUUGCCAAGGAUGUUUUCAUUAAUCAAGACAAAAGUUAGGGGAUCGAAGACGAUCAGAUACCGUCGUAGUCUUAACCAUAAACUAUGCCGACUAGGGAUUGGACGAUGUUAAUUUUUAAUGACUC